ensembl:miRNA
AUCACAGACACCUCCAAGUGUGCAGGGCACUGAUGGGGGCCAGGGCAGGCUCAGUGGAAGUGCAGAACCUGCCACUCAGUUGGAGGUGAGGGUG